AUUGAACGCUGGCGGCAGGCCUAACACAUGCAAGUCGAACGGUAGCACAGAGAGCUUGCUCUCGGGUGACGAGUGGCGGACGGGUGAGUAAUGUCUGGGAAACUGCCCGAUGGAGGGGGAUAACUACUGGAAACGGUAGCUAAUACCGCAUAACGUCUUCGGACCAAAGUGGGGGACCUUCGGGCCUCACACCAUCGGAUGUGCCCAGAUGGGAUUAGCUAGUAGGUGGGGUAAUGGCUCACCUAGGCGACGAUCCCUAGCUGGUCUGAGAGGAUGACCAGCCACACUGGAACUGAGACACGGUCCAGACUCCUACGGAAGUCGGCAGUGGGGAAUAUUGCACAAUGGGCGCAAGCCUGAUGCAGCCAUGCCGCGUGUAUGAAGAAGGCCUUCGGGUUGUAAAGUACUUUCAGCGGGGAGGAAGGCGAUGGAGUUAAUAGCUUCAUCGAUUGACGUUACCCGCAGAAGAAGCACCGGCUAACUCCGUGCCAGCCGCCGCCGUAA
rnacentral:rRNA from 1 species